rnacentral:rRNA from 1 species
AAUGAACGCUGGCGGCGUGCCUAACACAUGCAAGUCGUGCGCGAAGGUGGCUUCGGCCACCGGAGAGCGGCGAACGGGUGAGUAACACGUGGGUGAUCUGCCUGGGAGCGGGGGAUAACCUGGGGAAACUCGGGCUAAUACCGCAUACGUUGGCGGGGCUUCGGCUUCGUCAAGAAAGCUGGCCUCUGACUCAAGCUAGCACUCCCAGAGGAGCCCGCGGCUGAUUAGCUAGUUGGUGAGGUAAUGGCUCACCAAGGCGACGAUCAGUAGCCGGCCUGAGAGGGUGAUCGGCCACACUGGAACUGAGACACGGUCCAGACUCCUACGGGAGGCAGCAGUGGGGGAAUAUUGGACAAUGGGCGCAAGCCUGAUCCAGCAAUGCCGCGUGGAGGAAGAAGGCCCUCGGGUCGUAAACUCCUGUCAGGUGGAAAGAAAAGGCGCCGGUAAAUAAUCGGCGACGUUGACGGUACCACCAGAGGAAGCCCCGGCUAACUCCGUGCCAG